AACAUAACAUGUUUGCAUGAUUAUUUGGUGGUGGAUAGCAAUACCCCUAACUCGUUUUUCUUAAUUUGUGAGCUACUUAAUAUCUAUUUCUGUCCUGUUUUUGUUCGAUUUAAUUUAAAUAGAAAAUCAACUCUAAAAAUCCCAAAAAUUUGUAGAAGUGUAGCUCUGUGUGCUAGUGUUUGCUUAUAAAAUUUCGUAGACUUUAGAUUAGUGUAAGUCAGUCUAAUAAUUAUUUUUCGGUGGCUGGUCAGUAGGGACAACAACCGGUUUUUUUGACAUUUUAAGUAGUUAGAUAAAACAAUCUUCUGCGGGAAAGACCCUUAUUUUCAUAUGCUACAAUUGACAAAUCUUAGCUUUAAUAAGGAAAAUCAAUAGGACAUUUGUGUGCUACUUUGUGGUGUGUUUUUAAUCCUAUCACAUGUGUCAAGCUUGAAAAUUCUCUCCACAUGAGGGGGUGUGUUGAGAAUGAAUUCCACAUUGAUGAGAGGAAUGACCUUGCAUGAACUUAUAAGUAAGUUGAACUAUUCCCCAUAUUACUAAUUGGUUUGAUUGUGAAACCUCGAUUUUUUUCACUAUUCGCCCCUCUGGUCAUGUCAUAAAAAGAUCAAAGCAAGAAAGUCUCCGCUACCAAAAUUGCCUCACACUUAAUGUGCAAAAUAUUCAAAUUAGACAUUCCUUCAAGAAGAGAGGUCACUCUGGAGAAUAAGUUAUUACUCAAGCUUGUAGUAUGUGUAAGUAACAAAGGUAAUGAAAUAGUUUCCGCGAUGAACUUUGCACCCUCCUAAAUAAUUGAGCCUGCAAUAUUAAAAACAGUAAUGAAGUUGAAACUUGUUAAGAGUAUCAAUUUUAUAUUAGGGAAAUGAGAGACUUUAGAUGUGCUUAUACGUAAUUGGGAUACUCCCCAUAUUGACAAUUAGUUUUAUGGUGAAACUUCGACUUUCUUCAUUGUAUAGAGCAUAUUGCGCCGCAUGUGAAGCUCAACAACAGCAUGUAAGGAGGCGUGUUUAAAGUGAAUCCUACAUCCUAGAAAAGUGGGGCCUUACUUGUGCUUAUAAGUAAAUUGACUACUCCCAACUUUUUUCAUAACCUAAGAGCUACAUUCUUGCGUUUGGUACACUUACAAAUUUGAUAUCGAGUCGAAAUUGAUUUAUCAAAACAUAAAUUGUGGUUUGACCCCCUGGACUCUUACUCCAUUUGAAAUUGACCUCCUGAACUAUUUGUUUUGGUAAAUUAACCCCUUGAAAUAUUUGACAUAAGCUAAUUAACCCUUUGUCAUUAGAUUCCGUGUAUUAUUCUGUCGAAUUCAAGGGAAAAGUAGUCUUUUUAUCAUCAAUCCUUACAUGUCACUUAUAACCACCAAUAAAAUUAUGACAUGUGGACUUAAUAAUGUGUAAUGAUAAUAUGAAAUGGUCCUUAUGUAAACAUUUCGUUACUUUAUGUUUCUUAUUAUGCUAUAAGUUUUUGAAUUAUUCCGUGUCCACGUGUCAUUAUUUUAUUGAUAGUUAUAAUUGACAAGUAAGAAUUGAUGAUGAAAAGACUAAUUUGUCCUUGAAUUUAACGGAAUAAUGGACGGAAUCUGCUGCAAUGGGUUAAGUGGCUGAUUUUAAAUAGUUCAGGGAGCUAAUUUACCAAAAAAAUAAUUCAAGGGUCAAUUUCAACUAGAGUGAUAGUUUAGGAGGUUAAACUGCAAUUUAUCCUUUUAUCAAAUUAUGCACAUAGCAGUUGAGAAAAAGGGUGUGCAGUCUAGUCCUAGAAACCAAGUCAGGAAUAGCUCUUGUUGUUGAAUGCUGUCUUUUAUUGGACAAAGGCUUAACUGUUAACAGGGAAGACAUGUUUAAUUAGGCCUCAUUUGGCAGCUCGGACUGUACUGACUAUUUAUGUCGGAUAGGAUAAAUAGCCACCGGAUAGAACUGACUAAAUUAGUCGGACGUUUGGUGCAGUAUCGGAUUAAUGACCGUAUUAUUUAUACUGUGUUUGGUUUUAUACCGGAUAGGCUAAAUCAAACUUAAAAUUAAAUUAAACUUAUAAAAAUAAAAAUAAAA
rnacentral:lncRNA from 1 species